rnacentral:rRNA from 1 species
AUUGAACGCUGGCGGCAUGCCUUACACAUGCAAAUCGAACGGUAACGGGCCUUCGGGUGCCGACGAGUGGCGAACGGGUGAGUAAUACAUCGGAACGUGCCCGAUCGUGGGGGAUAACGAGGCGAAAGCUUUGCUAAUACCGCAUACGAUCUACGGAUGAAAGCAGGGGACCGCAAGGCCUUGCGCGGACGGAGCGGCCGAUGGCAGAUUAGGUAGUUGGUGGGAUAAAAGCUUACCAAGCCGACGAUCUGUAGCUGGUCUGAGAGGAUGAUCAGCCACACUGGGACUGAGACACGGCCCAGACUCCUACGGGAGGCAGCAGUGGGGAAUUUUGGACAAUGGGCGCAAGCCUGAUCCAGCCAUGCCGCGUGCAGGAUGAAGGCCUUCGGGUUGUAAACUGAUUUUGUACGGAACAAAAAGCCUUCUUUUAAUACAGGAGGGUCAUGACGGUACCGUAAGAAUAAGCACCGGCUAACUACGU